CCUACGGGUGGCAGCAGUAGGGAAUCUUCCACAAUGGGCGAAAGCCUGAUGGAGCAACGCCGCGUGGGUGAAGAAGGUCUUCGGAUCGUAAACCCCUGUUGUUAGAGAAGAAAGUGCGUGAGAGUAACUGUUCACGUUUCGACGGUAUCUAACCAGAAAGCCACGGCUAACUACGUGCCAGCAGCCGCGGUAAGACGGAGGUGGCAAGCGUUAUCCGGAGUUAUUGGGCGGAAAGGGAACGCAGGCGGUCUUUUAAGUCUGAUGUGAAAGCCUUCGGCUUAACCGGAGUAGUGCAUUGGAAACUGGGAGACUGGAGGGCAGAAGAGGAGAGUGGAACUCCAUGUGUAGCGGUGAAAUGCGUAGAUAUAUGGAAGAACACCAGUGGCGAAAGCGGCUCUCUGGUCUGUAACUGACGCUGAGGUUCGAAAGCGUGGGUAGCAAACAGGAUUAGAUACCCCUGUAGUC
rnacentral:rRNA from 1 species